rnacentral:tRNA from 1 species
AUAGCUCAGUUGGUAGAGCGACGGACUGUUAAUCCGCAGGUCGUAGGUUCGAA